AUAAUUUUGUAAUAUAUUAAAAGUAUAUAUAUAUUAUAUUCAGGGACCCGGACCGCACCGAAACCGAAACCGAUAACCGGUUCAUAACCGGUUUUUUAGCCGGACCGAAACCGUAAACCAGAACCAAAUUCUGCUAAAUUUACAGCACCGGAACCAUAACUGGAACCGAUUAAAUAUUUUUAGGUUUACGGUUUUUUCGGUAUAUUUUUCUGGUUUUUUAAAUUUACUUUUACAUAAUAUUUUUAUAUUUUUAAUUUAAAUUUUUUGUCGUUUCUAUUAUUUUUACUUAAUACUACUUCGAGUCUAAUUGAAUAUUACUGCUUCCUAUAUCUAAUUGGUUCUUAAUGUGACAUCUUUGAACUGAGAUUGCAAUUAUGAAAUUGCAACAAUCGUAUGUGACAUGAACAUAAUGUUUUUUUAAAACUUUUUUUAGUUUAAGAUGUACAUACUUUUUAAGAUGUACAUAGUUUUAUUACCACUGCAUUUAGUCUUAUUACUACAUAGUUGUAUUUUUUAUAUAUAGGGUAUCCCGCAUCAGAUAUGCAAUAUCUCAUGGAAAGAUAGACGGGAUCAAAGUGAACAUAAAAGUCCACUAUAGUUUUUGGAUAUCUCCAAUGAUAGCCGAGAUAUAAAUUUUUCAAAUUGUACAAAUGAGAACACGCCGAGGAAAGCGCUGAGUCGCUCGAACUGCCGCCGGCAGCUACUAAUUGACACAGUAGUGCUAUAGUUCGAGCGGCUCAGCACGCUCUCAUUCGUACAAUUUGAAAAAUUAAUAUCUCGGCUAUCAUUGGAGAUAUCCAAAAACUAUAGUGGACUUUUUAUGUUCACCUUGAUCCCGUCUAUCUUUCCAUAAAGUAUUGCAUACCUGAUGUGGGACACCCUGUAUAUAUUCUGAAUUAAAAAAAUUAUUGUACACAUUUUGCUUAUUACUUUUUAUUUGCAACUUUGCGGAUUCUUGUCUAUCUACUUAUACUUUUUUUGCUUUUUCCUCUUAUUUCUCUUAUUUAAUCUUUUUUUGAAGCAAUAAAUUUAUUGGUAGCACAAUUCAAAUUGAUUCCUUUUUUCAUACGUAAAUAUUUUUUAUAAAUUAUUAUUAAACAUUAUUAAAUGUUAUUAAAUAUUAUAAUACUUAAUAAUAUGUUAAAUAUUAUAUAUUAUUAAAUAUAAAUAGGAAUUAUGUAAUAAUUACUAUUACAUAAUAAUUACUUCUUAAAUAAUAAUAUUAGAAGAACCGGAACCGUAACCGAAAAAAACCGUAAUUAAACGGUUUUGGGUUUUUGUAUUUGCCAAGAAACCGAAACUGAAACCGUAACCGGUUUUCAAAUCUUUUUAUUAAACCGUAACCGUAACCGAACCUUAAUUUCAUUCGGUCCGGGUCCCUGAUUAUAUUAAAUAUUAUAUUAUAUUAAAAUAAUUUUAAACGUAUUAUUGAAAAUAUUUAUUUUAUGUCAAAUAAAAUACUAGAAUGAUUAUUAUUACUGUAAGAUAUUUGAAUAAAAACAUUAAAUUUGAUUAAUUUUCCAAUUAUCAUUAAAUACAUCAAUUUCAGGUUUCUUUCGCGUAUGGAGAUAAUUUUGCGUCAAGUGUGUCUUGUGGAAUUAGCCGGAUGUACAUUCAACUUAUGUAUGCUAGGAUAUUACACCAUUACGGUACGCUUAAAAUCUUGAAAAGGAAUGGCACGAGGAAAGUACGAACACUUUAAUAACGUAUUUUAUUGUGUUCACAUCGAUGAUGUUCAAUAUUUUCAUAUUUUGCUACAUUGGUGAUCUCGUUACGGAGCAGGUAAAAUAAUUACAUUUGAUCUAUCGUCACAUUUUUGUGAACUUUCAUCUCAUUUAAUAAUAUGCAUAUAACAAAUUCGACAUCUUGAUUCAAGAAACUUAAUUUUACGACAGUGUAAAAAAGUCGGAGAAGCAGCUUACAUGACAAAUUGGUAUCAGUUGCCACAUAAAACUAUGCUCAGCUUGAUUUUAAUAAUUUUACGAUCAAGCGUAGUCAUCAAAAUUACUGCGGGAAAAAUA